ACGGGUGAGUAAUGUCUGGGGAUCUGCCCGAUAGAGGGGGAUAACCACUGGAAACGGUGGCUAAUACCGCAUAACGUCGCAAGACCAAAGAGGGGGACCUUAGGGCCUCUCACUAUCGGAUGAACCCAGAUGGGAUUAGCUAGUAGGCGGGGUAAUGGCCCACCUAGGCGACGAUCCCUAGCUGGUCUGAGAGGAUGACCAGCCACACUGGAACUGAGACACGGUCCAGACUCCUACGGGAGGCAGCAGUGGGGAAUAUUGCACAAUGGGCGCAAGCCUGAUGCAGCCAUGCCGCGUGUAUGAAGAUGGCCUUCGGGUUGUAAAGUACUUUCAGCGGGGAGGAAGGCGGUGAGGUUAAUAACCUUGCCGAUUGACGUUACCCGCAGAAGAAGCACCGGCUAACUCCGUGCCAGCAGCCGCGGUAAUACGGAGGGUGCAAGCGUUAAUCGGAAUUACUGGGCGUAAAGCGCACGCAGGCGGUCUGUUAAGUCAGAUGUGAAAUCCCCGGGCUUAACCUGGGAACUGCAUUUGAAACUGGCAGGCUUGAGUCUCGUAGAGGGGGGUAGAAUUCCAGGUGUAGCG
rnacentral:rRNA from 1 species